GCACCGCACUCAUAAUGCGGGGGUCACAAGUUCAAGUCUCGUCAUAGCCA
rnacentral:tRNA from 1 species